rnacentral:rRNA from 1 species
UACGUAGGGUGCGAGCGUUAAUCGGAAUUACUGGGCGUAAAGCGCACGUAGGCGGCUUUCUAAGUCAGGGGUGAAAUCCCGGAGCUCAACUCCGGAACUGCCUUUGAUACUGGAAAGCUUGAGUUCGAGAGAGGUGAGUGGAACUGCGAGUGUAGAGGUGAAAUUCGUAGAUAUUCGCAAGAACACCAGUGGCGAAGGCGGCUCACUGGCUCGAUACUGACGCUGAGGUGCGAAAGCGUGGGGAGCAAACAGG